rnacentral:rRNA from 1 species
AACGAACGCUGGUGGCAUGCUUAACACAUGCAAGUCGAACGUAAGUAUUUGAGGUGCUUGCACUGAAAAUAUGAGCGUGGCAGACGGGUGAGUAAUGCGUGGGAAUGUACCUCGAAGUUCGGAAUAACGUUUGGAAACGAACGAUAAUACCGGAUACGUCCUGUAGUGGAGACGCUACAGGAGAAGGGCUUGCUGCUUCGAGAGCAGCCCACGUCGGAUUAGCUAGUUGGUAGGGUAAAGGCCUACCAAGGCUAUGAUCUGUAGCUGAUUUGAGAGGAUGAUCAGCCACACUGGGACUGAGAACGGCCCAGACUCCUACGGGAGGCAGCAGUGGGGAAUAUUGGACAAUGGGGGAAACCCUGAUCCAGCGAUGUCACGUGUGUGAUGAAGGCCUUCGGGUUGUAAAGCACUUUUAUUAGGGAAGAUAAUGACGGUACCUAAAGAAAAAGCUCCGGCAAACUUCGUGCCAGCCGCCGCGGUAAUAC